GGUCGUGCAGUCGACGCCGCGACCUGACAUGAAGGAGCGUUUGCCGACUACGCCUAGAAAGGGAUGUCAAGAUUUCGUGAACCAGAGGCACCGCAUAGGAACCUAAGACAUUUCUGCAGCCGGAACAGCACGGCAAAGCAUCUGAUCUGCAUGCUGCGACAAGGUAUGGCUGGGCCUGGUGAUGAAGUGUAAGCAGAACAUGCUAUGCUGCGAAUUGGUGCCAAUCUUCACAUCCGAGUUGUUCCCACGACAGUCAAGCACCACUGUGAUUUGCUUCAUUGGCAAGGUGCCCUGCAAGCUCUCACCAAAGCAACACAUUCCACUGGUUUUCUGUCAGAGUACCAUUAUAGAAUUUCGAAUAAACUAUGCUUGUCAGAUGUG